rnacentral:rRNA from 1 species
CUCUACCUACGGGGCAGCAGUGAGGGAUAUUGGUCAAUGGGGGAAACCCUGAACCAGCAACGCCGCGUGAGGGAAGACGGUUUUCGGAUUGUAAACCUCUGUCCUCUGUGAAGAUAAUGACGGUAGCAGAGGAGGAAGCUCCGGCUAACUACGUGCCAGCAGCCGCGGUAAUACGUAGGGAGCGAGCGUUGUCCGGAUUUACUGGGUGUAAAGGGUGCGUAGGCGGGGAAGCAAGUAAGAAGUGAAAUGCAUGGGAU